UGGGGUGUAGCCAAGUGGUAAGGCAGCGGGUUUUGAUCCCGCCAUUCCGUGGGUUCGAAUCCUACCACCCCAG
rnacentral:tRNA from 1 species